rnacentral:rRNA from 1 species
GUCAAAAUGACUCUCGGCAAUGGAUAUCUCGGCUCUCGCAUCGAUGAAGAACGUAGCGAAAUGCGAUACUUGGUGUGAAUUGCAGAAUCCCGUGAACCAUCGAGUCUUUGAACGCAAGCUGCGCCCAAAGCCUUCGGGCCGAGGGCGCGCCUGCCUGGGCAUCACAUAUCACGUCGC